rnacentral:rRNA from 1 species
GACGAACGCUGGCGGCGUGGAUUAGGCAUGCAAGUCGAACGGUAUCAUCCUUUCGGGGGUGAGAGAGUGGCGAACUGGUGAGUAACACGUAGGUUAUCUACCCUCAAGACGGGGACAACCCAGGGAAACUUGGGCUAAUACCGGAUGUGAGCAACUUUUAGUUGUUUGAAAGGUGGCGUAAGCUGUCGCUUGGGGAUGAGCCUGCGUCCUAUUAGUUAGUUGGUGAGGUAACGGCUCACCUAGGCAAUGAUAGGUAGGCGGCCUUAACGGGUGGUCGCCCACACUGGGAUUGAGAUACGGCCCAGACUCCUACGGGAGGCAGCAGUCGAGAAUAGUCUACAAUGGUCGGAAGACUGAUAGUGCGACGCCGCGUGAACGAUGAAUCCCUUCGGGGUGUAAAGUUCUUUUAUAUGUGAGCAGUGCUUCUUAUAUUAACAGUAUGGGGAAGAGAUAUUAGCAUAUGAAUAAGCAACGGCUAAACUCCGUGCCAGCAGCCGCGGUAAGA